rnacentral:ncRNA from 1 species
AUAAAAUAAUUAUGUUUUUUAUAAUUUAUUAUGAAUUUAUUUUACAUAUAAAUUUUAGUGUGUAAUUUUAAUUAUUUAAAUAAUAAUUAAUUUAAUUUAUUUAUAGUAAUUAAUAUUAAAAAUUUAAGAAAUUAAGAUUUAGUAAUAUAAAAAUUAAUAACUAAUUUUGUGCCAGCAGUUGCGGUUAAACAAAAGUUAAAUUAAAUUAUUUCAGUUUAUAAUAAAUAAAAUAAAAUUAUUAAAAUAAAUAUUAAAUUAUUAAGUGAAAUUUUAAUUUAAUUAAAUUUUAUAAUUAAAUUAUGAUUUAAUAAAUUUUAAUAUAAACUAGGAUUAGAUACCCUAUUAUUAAAAAUUUAAUUUAUAAUACUAAAAUAGUAAAUAAUAAUUUAUUGAAACUUAAAUAAUAUGGCGGUAUUUUAGUUCAUUUAGAGGAAUCUGUCUAAUAAUUGAUAAUCCACGAAUAAAUUUACUUAAUUUAUAAUUUUGUAUAUCAUUGUUAAAAAAAUAUUUUUUAGUAAAAAUAAUAUUUAAAGUUUAAAAUUUUAAGUUAAAUCAGAUCAAGAUGCAGAAUAUAAUUAAGAAUAUGAUGGAUUACAUUAAAAAUAUUUAAAUGAAUAAUUUAUUGUAAAAUAAAUUUGAAGGUGGAUUUAAAUGUAAUUUUAAUUAAUUUAUUAAAAUGAUUAUAAAUUAAAAUAUGUACAUAUUGCCCGUCACUUUCAUUUAAAAAUUGAAAUAAGUCGUAACAAAGUAGAGGUACUGGAAAGUGUUUCUAGAAAGA